rnacentral:rRNA from 1 species
UACGAAGGGGGCUAGCGUUGUUCGGAAUCACUGGGCGUAAAGGGCGCGUAGGCGGAUUGCUAAGUCAGGGGUGAAAUCCUGGAGCUCAACUCCAGAACUGCCUUUGAUACUGGCAACCUUGAGUCCGGGAGAGGUGAGUGGAACUGCGAGUGUAGAGGUGAAAUUCGUAGAUAUUCGCAAGAACACCAGUGGCGAAGGCGGCUCACUGGCCCGGUACUGACGCUGAGGUGCGAAAGCGUGGGGAGCAAACAGG